rnacentral:rRNA from 1 species
CCCUUAGAUGUUCUGGGCUGCACGCGUGCUACACUGAUAUUGCCAAUAUGUCAUUAUUAUCCGAAAUGGAUUGGGUAAUCAAGUAAUGAAAUUUCAUGCUUGGAAUCGGUAAUUGCAAUUUUAUCGUGAACGAGGAAUUCCUAGUAAGCACUAGUCAUCAGCUAAUGUUGAUUAUGUCCCUGCCCUUUGUACACACCGCCCGUCGCUACUACUGAUUGGGUGUUCAAGUGAGAUGCUUAGACCCUUGUUGCAUGGUUCAUUAUUGUGCUCCGAAAGGAAAAAGUUUCAAGCUUGAGUGUCUAGAGGAAGUAAAAGUCGUAACA